rnacentral:rRNA from 1 species
GACGAACGCUGGCGGCGUGCUUAACACAUGCAAGUCGAGCGGUAAGGCCCUUUCGGGGGUACACGAGCGGCGAACGGGUGAGUAACACGUGGGUGACCUGCCCUCAGCUCUGGGAUAAGCCUGGGAAACUGGGUCUAAUACUGGAUAUGACUCCACGGUGCAUGUCGUGGGGUGGAAAGCCUUGUGCGGCUGAGGAUGGGCCCGCGGCCUAUCAGCUUGUUGGUGGGGUGANGGCCUACCAAGGCGACGACGGGUAGCCGGCCUGGAGAGGGCGACCGGCCACACUGGGACUGAGACACGGCCCAGACUCCUACGGGAGGCAGCAGGUGGGGAAUCUUGCGCAAGUGGGACGAAAGCCUGACGCAGCGACGCCGCGUGAGGGAUGGACGCC